AUUUCGUCAAAUUUCUGAAACUCAAUCUGUUCAACUUUUAGCAAAGGUCAUGUCGAUUUUUUUUCAUAGAUUGUUCAAGCCAUAGAUUUAUUUUACCAUUUAUUCUAACAAUUGAACAUUGUAAUGGUUGUGAAUGUAGCAAAUGGACCCAUUGUGCCCAGAGUGUGGCGACAACCGGGUUGGAAGGGAAGAGGGGGAGUAAGAAGAGAGGUUGGCAUAUGUGGAUGUACAACAAUCGUUUCUCCUUGUGCUUGGAGAGAACUUCGGGUGAAGACAAUAUGUUUGUAAGAAUGACAGAUUUCAUAAGCCUGUUGAGCCUUCUUACACAGAUGUGCCAAACAAAUGUCUCACUUUUUUACCCUUUAACUUGUCUCACAUCAUCCCUUGCUUAACAAGGCUUGAAGUCCUAGAGAUGUUCAAGGUUCCAGUCCAUAGUUGAGGCGCACCAUGAAACAAAAGAGGGCUUUAACUUAAUUGUUUUGGUAAAAAAAAAUGAAAGAGGUCAAACCUAGAUUGCCCUGGUUGGAGAAGAUUGGCUAAGGUAUUCGUGCUUGAGGUUUGGAUGAAGAUCGAGAUGUACAUUCUUGG
rnacentral:lncRNA from 1 species